rnacentral:rRNA from 1 species
GGUGUAGGUGGCUUUGUAAGUCAGAUGUGAAAGCCCAGGGCUCAACCCUGGAAGUGCAUUUGAUACUGCGAAGCUUGAGUGUGGGAGAGGCUACUGGAAUACCUGGUGUAGUGGUGAAAUACGUAGAUAUCAGGUGGAACACCGGAGGCGAAGGCGGGUAGCUGGCCCAACACUGACACUCAGACCCGAAAGCGUGGGGAUCAAACA